rnacentral:lncRNA from 1 species
AGCGCGCAAAACCAGUGAUAGGCGCGAAACACAACUUUGUCAACACUGGCAAUAGACUACAACGAUCCAAGCGAAGAAUAUCCCUAAUAUAUUAGCAAUGACGGAUUUCGAGGAUAAUCCAGCGAUGGAUAUGUCAAGAACUCAUGAUAAAGGAAUAGACUAGAUUUAGUGCCGAUGGAUACAUCUCAAGUUGAAUUCCAGUGGACAUAAGCAUGAGCGAUUUCCACUGGACGAUUCUGAAGAAAUGGUCCUAAUGUUGAAACACUGAAGAUAAAGUUCUACAAGAUGAGUUUAUUCCUGUGCCGGAGCGUUUGCUCAUCACACUGAAGACUUGGGUUCGAUUCCUCGCAUGGGUACAAUGUGUGUAGCCCCUUAGGUGUCCCUCGGUGUGAUAUUGCUGGAACAUUGCUAAAAGUGGUGUAAAACUAAACUCACUCACUCAAUAUCCCUGAACCAAUGUGGACAUUUUCGGGGAUGUCACCACUGCUCUUUCCGAAGGUUCUUCAGACUUGUGUAUAUCCUGUUUCUUCUGAGAGAAAUUGUGAUGCCCCUUGUACAACUUCCAGGUAGAUGAUUUUGGGCCCUGUUGUAAUUUCUCUGUUGGUUGUGACUCUCAUUUAUUAUGUCUACUUCUAAACCAUAUAGACUAAAGUGAUUACUCUUUCUGAAAUUGUAUAUUACUGCAUGAAAUGGUGUUCUGAAUUGGUUAAUUUUCCUGGAUAUAGACUGACAUCCAAGCUGCCCUAAAGAUGUUUUUAGAAUAAAAUAAUAGAUAAGAAUAUCCUCUGAAAAAUGAUGAACAUGUCCACAUGCCAUUUGUCCCUAGCAGCAUUACUGGAUAUGUAAUUCUAGUUUGCUUUAGACUUGUACUUGUUGCACAGAAUAUCCCUCAAUCCCUGUGAGUUUCCCAACAACUGUCCUCAAGUUGUCUUUCAUUUAAAUCUGUCAGUGUCAGCAAUAAAAUGUGUCUUUAUAA